ensembl:lncRNA
UCCAUUCAACGCUGAAUAUCGGCAAGGAAAAGUACAGAAAAUGCCAGGGUCAACGACGAGACAAUGCCCCCAUUGCAUGGAGCAAUGCAACUGUGGGAAUAAAAGAUGCACCAAGUGUGGCAAGCUUUUGGAGCUGAAGUCGAGGCAGACUGCCCGGAUGAAAGGCUUCAGAGCCAGGGCUAAGGAAUGGGCGGAGAAAACAAAAAAGUCCCGCAACCAGGCAAAAGUGGUCGAUCACACAGCCCUGAUGAUGGAGAAAAUGAAGGCUCUGGGGUACUUUCCCUUACUUAUGUGGGGAAAGUACACGCCAAGGACCAACAAAUGGUCUGCUCAGCUGCAGUGCCCAUAUGAGCUGCCACCAAUGGCACAUGCAGUCCUGGAGAGGAUCAUUUGCCUUUUUGAAGGCAUGCUUGAAGCAUGGCAGCCUGAAAAUGACAAAAUGGGGCAGCAAGAGAGGACAGAAGAUGACCAGAGAGAACAGGGGGAGGGAGGUGAAGUAGUAGGGACGGAGGAGAGGAGGGAUGAGGAGGAGAUGGAGACAGAGGUAGAGAGAGGAACACUGACAGACACGAGAGAUGAGACGGAGGGAGAGCAAGAAGAGCCUGAAGUGAUGGAGAAAGGAGAGAUGGAGAUAGAGGGGGAGAUAGAAACCAUGACAGACACGAGAGAUGAGAAAGAGGGAGAGCAAGAAGAGUCUGAAGUGACGGAGAAAGGAGAGAUGGAGAAGACAGAUGAUGUAGAAAUCGAAAAGAAAAGGGAUGCAGAAAAACCGAUGUUUAAGAAGAAGAGAAGGGGAGCAAAUGGAUUGCCCGUUUCACAGGCUAGAAAUCUACCCUGUCAAAUGUGUAGUGAAGACACGUGAAAGAAAGGGCUGCAAAGAGGUACUUGUCCAUUGGCUCCCAUGCCCCUCAUGCCAAAAGACCUGGCCCCCAUCUUGGGAACCCCAAGAUAAUGUAACCAUGGCCCUGUCAUAAGGACACAGUCAUUUAUUGAACAAGUUAAAAAUAUAAUAAUAGUAUCCAGAAGCUGUUCCAAGUUGUCUCCACAGCAGAUAUAUAUGGCGGAGGGAUGACGUAUGUUGGCCAACCCAGAAGUGAGCGUCGCCCUGGGUUCCCUUGACAACAAGCCAACGGGUUUUUCCAUUGGAUUUUGGAUUGUUGCAGAAAAUGUUGCAUUUUUGAAGCACCUUCUCAAAAACUGAUAAUAAAUAAAUAAAUAAAAAUAACCGUGCUCCAAAGGACGAAAUGUAAACCAAUGCAUUCUGAAUGGUAGUGUUUCUCCGAUUUUUC